GCCAUUGUUGGUUAACUUCUCCGAUCGAUCAUGUUGUCUUCCCAACCUUUGAUCAUCUCUCAAUUUAAGUUCAAACCAAAUGGCCACCGAUUCAGUCACCCCUCAUUUAACAAACUCAUCACUCAAUCAUCUUUGAUCAUCACUAAUACCAAGUAUUCUCAACAUGCCAUAUGUUUCAAACUAUAUGGAUUCCAUCACCACUCAACUCUUGGCAAGAAACAAGGCAGAGCAUCUUCCUGCUCCUCCUUUUCUUCUUCUUCUUCUUCGACCACUCAUGAUCAUCAUUCAUGGACAUAUGAUGUCUUUCUCAGUUUUAGAGGAGAGGAUACACGCAACAAUUUCAUAGGCCAUUUGCACAGCAAUUUGGUCCGAAAAGGAAUCAAAAACCUUCAUAGACGAUGAAGGACUUGGAAGAGGAGAUGAGCUAUCACAUGCCCUUCAAAAAGCAAUUCAAGAGUCCAGAAUUUCUAUCGUCGUCUUUUCGGAGAAUUAUGCUUCCUCUAAGUAGUACUUGGAAGAACUCGUCAGCAUUCUUCACUGUAAAGAAUCAAAGCAACAGCUGGUUUACCUUUUUUUUUUACAAGGCAGAUCCAUCGGAUGUACGACAUCAAAGAGGUAGUUUUGGCAAAGCACUAGCUCACCACGAAAGCAGAUUAAAACACAACUUGGAGAAAGUCACGAGAUGGAGGGAAGCUCUUACAAAAGCAUCAAAUCUCUCUGGCCUGCGUUUUAUAGAUGGAAGAUCAGCACAACUUUUAGAUCGCAUUCAUUUAAGUGUGGCAAAGUACCCUGUUGGAAUAGAGUCUCGUGUAGAGGAUAUGCUUAAGCUUCUACGUGUUGGAGAAGAUGAUGUCCGCAUGGUGGGGAUAUGGGGAAUCGGUGGAAUCGGAAAGACAACAAUUGCUAAAGGUGUGUAUAAUUCAAUUGCUCAUAACUUUGAAGGUAGUAGAAUAAUCAUCACAACAAGAGAUAAGCGCUGGCUAAUUGCUCAUGAUGUCAAUCAUAUAUACAAAAUGAAGGAGUUGAGUCAUCAUGAAGCUUUAGAGCUCUUCAAGUUUAAUGCCUUUAAAGAAAACCAAAAAAUGGAUGAUUAUGUUGAAUUCAUUGAUAAUAUUACACUUUAUGCUCAAGGGCUUCCCAUAGCUUUGGAAGUUUUGGGUUCAUUUCUCCCUGGUAGAAAUGUAGAUCAGUGGAAAGUUGCAUUAGAUGGUUAUGGAAGAGAACCAAAGAAAAAGAUUCAAGAAAUUCUCAGAAGAAGUUAUGAUGCACUGGACGAUUUGACAAAAGAAAUUUUUCUUCACAUUGCAUGUUUCUUUAAAGGCAAAGCUAAGAACUACGUGAUAGAUAUACUAAGAGGAUGCGAUCUCAAUCCUGAAUAUGGUAUUGAAGUACUCACAGAAAAGGCCCUCAUAAGCAUCAAUGAAAAAAAAGAGAUUUUGAUGCAUGAUCUGCUAGAAGAAAUGGGGAAAGAAAUAAUUCGUCAAGAGUCUCCGACUGAGCCUGGAGAACGUAGCAGAUUGUGGCGACAUGAAGAUGUUCACCGAGUUUUUAUGGAAAACACAGGAUCAGAUAAAGUUCGAGGCAUCAUUGUCAGUCGCAUGAAUGGCAGGGGAGAAAAGAUACAUCUGAACAGUGAAAGCUUCUCAAAGAUGAAAAAUCUUCAAAUAUUUGUAACCCCUCGUGAUAUAUUCACUGGAGAUCAUACUAUGCAGAAUUUGAAAUCUAUCGACAUGUCAAAUUGCCGUGGUGCAAGAAAGAUUAGUGGCUUUGGCUGCAAGAAACUUGAGAAGUUUGAAAUUGUUGAAGAGAUGAGAUGCUUGAAAAGCCUGGACCUAGGGUGGACUGGCAUCAAAGGAUUUCCUUCAUCAUCAGUUAGAUACCUCAUUAAUCUUGAAGAGCUACGUUUGAAAGGAUGCUAUAGCCUAACAACUGUGCCCUGCAGCAUUCUUGAGUUAAAACAUCUGAAGCACCUUGACGUCUCGGAUUGCGACAAUUUGGUCACAUUUCCAACCAAGUGUGAGACGAGGACCACGAUUUUACGCUAUGAUUCUUUGUUCAUCAACUUGCGAAUUGCAGGAAUCUAG